AUUGAACGCUGGCGGCAGGCUUAACACAUGCAAGUCGAGCGGAGAGAGGUAGCUUGCUACUGAUCUUAGCGGCGGACGGGUGAGUAAUGCUUAGGAAUCUGCCUAUUAGUGGGGGACAACAUUUCGAAAGGAAUGCUAAUACCGCAUACGUCCUACGGGAGAAAGCAGGGGAUCUUCGGACCUUGCGCUAAUAGAUGAGCCUAAGUCGGAUUAGCUAGUUGGUGGGGUAAAGGCCUACCAAGGCGACGACCUGUAGCGGGUCUGAGAGGAUGAUCCGCCACACUGGGACUGAGACACGGCCCAGACUCCUACGGGAGGCAGCAGUGGGGAAUAUUGGACAAUGGGCGCAAGCCUGAUCCAGCCAUGCCGCGUGUGUGAAGAAGGCCUUAUGGUUGUAAAGCACUUUAAGCGAGGAGGAGGCUACUUUAGUUAAUACCUAGAGAUAGUGGACGUUACUCGCAGAAUAAGCACUGGCUAACUCUGUGCCAGCCGCCGCCGUAA
rnacentral:rRNA from 1 species